UACGAAGGGGGCAAGCGUUGUUCGGAAUUACUGGGGCGGUAAAGGGCGCGUAGGCGGCUUAUCAAGUCAGGCGUGAAAUUCCCGGGCUCAACCUGGGGGCUGCGCUUGAUACUGAUUGGCUUGAAUGCGGGAGAGGAUAGUGGAAUUCCCAGUGUAGAGGUGAAAUUCGUAGAUAUUGGGAAGAACACCGGUGGCGAAGGCGGCUAUCUGGCCCGUAAUUGACGCUGAGGCGCGAAAGCGUGGGGGAGCAAACAGGG
rnacentral:rRNA from 1 species